rnacentral:rRNA from 1 species
UACGGGGGGGGCAAGCGUUGUUCGGAAUUACUGGGCGUAAAGGGCUCGUAGGCGGCCAACUAAGUCGGACGUGAAAUCCCCAGGCUCAACCUGGGAACUGCGUCCGAUACCGGAUGGCUUGAAUCCGGGAGAGGGAUGCAGAAUUCCAGGUGUAGCGGUGAAAUGCGUAGAUAUCUGGAGGAAUACCGGUGGCGAAGGCGGCAUCCUGGACCGGCAUUGACGCUGAGGAGCGAAAGCCAGGGGAGCAAACGGG